AUUGAACGCUGGCGGAAUGCUUACACAUGCAAGUCGAACGGCAGCACGGACUUCGGUCUGGUGGCGAGUGGCGAACGGGUGAGUAAUGUAUCGGAACGUGCCCAGUCGUGGGGGAUAACGCAGUGAAAAUUACGCUAAUACCGCAUACGAUCUAUGGAUGAAAGCGGGGGAUCGCAAGACCUCGCGCGAUUGGAUCGGCCGAUAUCAGAUUAGGUAGUUGGUGGGGUAAAGGCCCACCAAGCCAACGAUCUGUAGCUGGUCUGAGAGGACGACCAGCCACACUGGAACUGAGACACGGUCCAGACUCCUACGGGAGGCAGCAGUGGGGAAUUUUGGACAAUGGGCGAAAGCCUGAUCCAGCCAUUCCGCGUGCAGGAUGAAGGCCCUCGGGUUGUAAACUGCUUUUGUACAGAACGAAAAGGUUUCUACUAAUACUAGGAGCUCAUGACGGUACUGUAAGAAUAAGCACCGGCUAACUACGUGCCAGCCGCCGCAGUAA
rnacentral:rRNA from 1 species